rnacentral:sRNA from 1 species
GGGUUGGGUCAGGACAACAAGGACACGAAUGUCGUCGCCGUUUUAGUUUUCGGCUGUCGUCGCCUUUUGUGUGCGUCUUGUCGACACAGUUUUUGCUCGCCAGUUCAUUGAAAUGGUGGCAGUCAAUGUGUCAGAUAAACAAGCCCGCUGACACUUUUGGCCAUGAUUCGGGUUCCGAUCCGGCAAACGGAGCGUGUGAGUCAAGUGUGCGCAUUUAUAGUUGGCCAUGCAAUUUUUGCCCCAAGAUUUGCACAAUGAACACCUUGACGGCACAGGCAGACGGGAGUGCUUGGGAAAUGGCCAAAGUGGGUGGCGCUCCAUCUCUGACUGGCUGCACACAAGUGGUCACAUUUAUGUGGACGAUAUGUUUGCCUUGACCUUGCCAGGACGUGUCCGGCUGCACACACACACGCACACACACGCACACACUCCAUGCACGCUGCCAAUGACAGUUGUCAACAUGACAGUUAUAAGGACACUGAUACAAAUGUUACGGAUGUUUGUCUUGGCCGGACAAGGAAUGUUAUUUAUUGCACGGCUUUUGGAGCUGUUUUAGGCAGUACUGUCAGAAGUUUGUAAGUCCGUUU